AGAGUUUGAUCCUGGCUCCGAAUGAAUGCUAGUGGCCAGCCUAACACAUGCAAGUUCAAUAUUUUUUGUAUUAUACAAAAAAAAUAGCGUACGGGUGAGUAAUACGUAGAAAUUUAUCUUAAAUUUUGGCUAAUCCCUUAAAAAAUUGUUAAUUGGUUUAAGAAAAGUUUACGCAGGAUUAGGUAGUUGGUAGUGCAAAAGACAUACCAAGCCUAUGAUCCUUAAUUGGUCUUUGAGGAUGAUCAGUCACACUGGAACAGAAAUAAGGUCCAGACUCUUGAAGAGGCAGCAGUGAGGAAUCUUAGGCAAUGAGCGAAAGCUUGACCUAGCUAGGCCACAUGUGAGAAGAAAGCCUUGUUAGGUUGUAAAUCACUUUGUAAAAUACAUUAAAAUUUUUAGAAAAAAUUUUACAAUCAAAGCUCCGGCUAAUUUCGUGCCAGCAGCCGCGGUAAAACGGGAGGAGCAAGUAUUAUUCUAAUUGACUGGGCGUAAAGGGUGCGUAGGUGGUAUCAAAAGGGAUUAGAUACCCCUGUAGUCUACGCCCUCAACGAUGAGUGUUUGUUUUUGAAUAAGUUUUCAGAGGCGAAGCUAAGGCAUUAAACACUUCGCCUGGGGACUACGGUCGCAAGAUUAAAACUCAAAGGAAUUGACGGGAACCCGCACAAGCGGUGGAGCAUGUGGUUUAAAUCGAAAAAACGCGCAAAACCUUACCAAUUUUUGUAUAGCAUUUUUGUUACAGGUGUUGCAUGGCUGUCGUCAGUCCGUGCCGUGAGGCGUUUGGUUAAUUCCAGCAAACGGACGAAACUUUUAUAUAAUAUAUUCAUAUAUUAUAAACUGCUCGGAAUAUCCUUGAGGAAGGAAAAAAUGACGUCAAGUCCGCAUGACCCUUAUGAAUUGGGCUACUUUCAUGUGCUACAAAGUAAUAUUUACAAUAAGAAGCAAAAGCGUGAGCUGGAGCAAAAUCUUUAAAAAAUAUUUAAUUCGGAUUAUUCUCUGCAACUCGAGAAUAUGAAGUCGUAAUCGCUAGUAAUCGUGAAUCAGAAUUGUCGCGGUGAAUAAGUUCUCGGGUUUUGUACACACCGCCCGUCACACUAUGGGAAUUUACUCUACUUGAAGAUAAAAAUGUUUAAUUUUUUUCCAUGGUAGAGGAAGGACUAGAGUGAAGUCGUAACAAGGUAACCGUAGGGGAACCUGCGGUUG
rnacentral:rRNA from 1 species